UCCACCUGACCAGCCAGUGUUAACCAACCAUCCAGUAGCCCCAUGCUUCUGCAUUUUUUCAGCCAGCAUGGCAGCAUACUUUGUAGGGUUUAGCAUUAUAAAUGCGGCACCAAAACAAGCUGAGAAUGUUGCCCGUGGCUCCUUCACACCUUCCUCUGUUCCAGCAACCUGUUUUCCAUCAAGAGGUUGACAUAUUUUAAAUCAACUUUUUUCCGUUUUCCAUAUUUUCUAUCAAAAAAUGUACAUUUUUUCUUUAAAAAAAAAAAUCAAUGACUGUGACGGACAGGUCUCUCUAAAUUACCAGAGCAGUGUAGCCACUGAUGAAGUGGUACAUGGUCUGUUCCAAGCUCAACUUGCUCACAGGUGGGAGUACACCAAAUGCAUCACAAGCCAAAAGGAUUAUAUUCUUUGGAUGAGGGCCAACACAAGGUAUCUUUGCAUUUGGGAUAUACUCUAUGGGAUAUGCGGCACGAGUGUUCUCUGCAGCAGUAAAAUCCCAGUAAGCAUGAUGAUAAGAUUCCAAAUAAUAUGUGAAGUUCAAAACCUUUAUUAACACUGAGAAACAGAGAAUUAAAAGAACAAAAAUAAUUCACGUGAUAUUUAAACAUUCAGAUGAAUGGAUGGAUCUUUCUGCAUAGUUAAACAGGAAGAUGCAUCUUUACCCGUGACAGAUUUGUCCAAGUAGUCCACUUCUCGUGUAUGCUCAUCAAACACAAUGUUUUCUAGCACUGCCACAAACAAACAGCCAAACAAACUCCAAUGAACGUUUAUUCAAGAGUGGAGUCAUUUGUUAAGAAUUUUGUCAUAUCCAAUUGAAAGAAAUAUGGUUAAGAGUCUGUUACCAGUCCCGAAUUUGAUGGCAUUCCAGAUAUCAGGCUCCUUCUCCCUUGAAAGAUCAAUGCAUUUGGCAUAGCACCCGCCUUCAAUGUUUGAUACUCCAUUAUCACUCCAGCAGUGCUCAUCAUCUCCAAUUAAGUACCGGUUAUGAUCAGUAGACAGAGUUGUCUUCCCAGUACCUGAACAAAACCAAAAUAUGAAUAAUAAGAAAUCUCAUCAAUAACAAAACGAAGGGCCAGCUGGGGAAAAUCACAGUCACAUUGUCACAAAUCAGAGGGAAAGUGAUCAAAUGAAAAUGCACCCGAUAGUCCGAAGAAAAGGGCAACAUCCCCAUCUUUUCCCAUAUUGCAGCCAGAGUGGAGGGAGAGGAUUUGACGUUUAGGCAUUAGGUAAUGCAUUAAGCUGAAUAGACCUUUCUUCAUUUCUCCGGCAUACUGGGUGCCAAGAAUGACCAUUUCUUUCCUAGCAAGAUUUAUGUCAAUGCUAGUAGAGGAAGUCAUAUAGUGGGUGUAACGGUUGCAAGGAAACUGCCCAGCAUUGUAUAUUGUGAAGUCCGGAGUACCAAAAUCUUCUAAUUCUUCUGACGUGGGUCGGAUGCACCUGUCACCAGACACCACCCAAAGAAUGCAAAAAAUACAUGUCAAGGGAAAUAAAAAAACUUCCCCCCUUUCUUUCGUGAUCUCUCAAUAGACAGAAAUGAAAUUCGGGUAAUGUUGCAUACAUGUUGUGCAUGAACAAGGAAUGGUAAGCUCUGGCAGAAACAAUUCGGACUUUGAUCCGGUGUUCUGGGUCCCAAUUGAGAAAUUGGUCGUUCACAAAGACCUGAAAUACAGUUUUAGAUAAUUAGAUAUUUCGGCAAUUUCAUGUUCGUGUUAUACUCGUUGAAGAUAAUGUAGCCACUUUUUUACCAGAGCAGUGUAGCCACUGAUGAAGUGGUACAUGGUCUGUUCCAAGCUCAACUUGCUCACAGGUGGGAGUACACCAAAUGCAUCACAAGCCAAAAGGAUUAUAUUCUUUGGAUGAGGGCCAACACAAGGUAUCUUUGCAUUUGGGAUAUACUCUAUGGGAUAUGCGGCACGAGUGUUCUCUGCAGCAGUAAAAUCCCAGUAAGCAUGAUGAUAAGAUUCCAAAUAAUAUGUGAAGUUCAAAACCUUUAUUAACACUGAGAAACAGAGAAUUAAAAGAACAAAAAUAAUUCACGUGAUAUUUAAACAUUCAGAUGAAUGGAUGGAUCUUUCUGCAUAGUUAAACAGGAAGAUGCAUCUUUACCCG
rnacentral:lncRNA from 1 species